AGAGUUUGAUCCUGGCUCAGAUUGAACGCUGGUGGUAUGCCUAACACAUGCAAGUCGAGCGGCAACGGACUCAAGGGUAACCUUGAGAGACGGCAAGCGGCGGACGGGUGCGUAACGCGUGGGAAUCUGCCCUAGAGUGGGGGACAACCUCUGGAAACGGAGGCUAAUACCGCAUGACGCCUUCGGGUGAAAGGUGGCCCCUUAAAAGGCUGCCGCUCUAGGAUGAGCCCGCGUUGGAUUAGCUUGUUGGUUAGGUAAUGGCUGACCAAGGCUGUGAUCCAUAGCUGUUCUGAGAGGAAGACCAGCCACACUGGGACUGAGACACGGCCCAGACUCCUACGGGAGGCAGCAGUGGGGAAUAUUGGACAAUGGGGGAAACCCUGAUCCAGCAAUACCAUGUGUGUGAAGAAGGCCUUAGGGUUGUAAAGCACUUUAGUUGGGGAAGAAAGGAGGAAGGUGAAUAGCUUUUCUCUGUGACGUUACCCAAAGAAUAAGCACCGGCUAACUCCGUGCCAGCAGCCGCGGUAAUACGGAGGGUGCGAGCGUUAAUCGGAAUGACUGGGCGUAAAGGGUCUGUAGGUGGCUCCGUAAGUCACAGGUGAAAACCCCGGGCUCAACCUGGGAACGGCCUGUGAUACUGCAGGGCUUGAGCGUAGCAGAGGAUCGGGGAAUUUCCGGUGUAGCGGUGAAAUGCGUAGA
rnacentral:rRNA from 1 species